GCCAGCCUGGUAUAGUGGUUUGAGCAUUGGACUAUGACUCCGGAGGCCAGAGUUCGAAUCCCAGCUUGGCC